CAGGCCUAACACAUGCAAGUCGAGCGAAGCAUUUUACUUUGAAUCUUUCGGGAGGACGAGUGAUCUGACUGAGCGGCGGACGGGUGAGUAACGCGUGGGUAACCUGCCUCACACAGGGGGAUAACAGUUAGAAAUGACUGCUAAUACCGCAUAAGACCACAGCACCGCAUGGUGCAGGGGUAAAAACUCCGGUGGUGUGAGAUGGACCCGCGUCUGAUUAGCUAGUUGGUAAGGUAACGGCUUACCAAGGCGACGAUCAGUAGCCGACCUGAGAGGGUGACCGGCCACAUUGGGACUGAGACACGGCCCAAACUCCUACGGGAGGCAGCAGUGGGGAAUAUUGCACAAUGGGGGAAACCCUGAUGCAGCGACGCCGCGUGAGCGAAGAAGUAUUUCGGUAUGUAAAGCUCUAUCAGCAGGGAAGAAACUGACGGUACCUGACUAAGAAGCACCGGCUAAAUACGUGCCAGCAGCCGCGGUAAUACGUAUGGUGCAAGCGUUAUCCGGAUUUACUGGGUGUAAAGGGAGCGUAGACGGAUAGGCAAGUCUGGAGUGAAAGCCCGGGGCUCAACCCCGGGACUGCUUUGGAAACUGUUUAUCU
rnacentral:rRNA from 1 species